rnacentral:rRNA from 1 species
UACGUAGGGAGCAAGCGUUGUCCGGAUUUAUUGGGCGUAAAGAGCUCGUAGGCGGCUUAGCAAGUCGGGUGUGAAAACUCCAGGCUCAACCUGGAGACGCCACUCGAUACUGCUAUGGCUUGAGUUCGGUAGGGGACCAUGGAAUUCCUGGUGUAGCGGUGAAAUGCGCAGAUAUCAGGAGGAACACCGAUGGCGAAGGCAGUGGUCUGGGCCGAUACUGACGCUGAGGUGCGAAAGCGUGGGGAGCAAACAGG